rnacentral:lncRNA from 1 species
AUUCACUGCCAUAUCUGGAUGAGUUCUUCUGAGCUUCUGCUUCACUGGCACACACUCAGGCUUCAGAGGCAGGAAAUGUUGCACAAUAUCUGUAUCUAAACCUGGCAUGCCUUCGUACGACCAAGCAAAGAUAUCGGAAUAUUCUCGUAGCAAACUGAUCAACCCCUUCUUGACAGACUCUUCAAGGAGUACCCCAAUCUUC